rnacentral:rRNA from 1 species
CCCUUAGAUGUUCUGGGCUGCACGCGCGCUACACUGACACACUCAGCGAGUUCCUGUACCGAGAGGUUCGGGUAAUCAUGUGAGCGUGUGUCGUGAUGGGGAUAGAAUAUUGUAAUUAUUGCUCUUCAACGAGGAAUUCCUAGUAAGCGCAAGUCAGCAGCUUGCGCUGAUUACGUCCCUGCCCUUUGUACACAACGCCCGUCGCUCCUACCGAUUGGGUGAUCCGGUGAAUGACUCGGACUUUGACGUUCCUAGACACUAGGUUCGUCGAGGGAAGUUUUGUGAACCUUAUCACUUGGAGGAAGGAGAAGUCGUAACA